rnacentral:rRNA from 1 species
CCUACGGGUGGCAGCAGUGGGGAAUAUUGCACAAUGGGGGAAACCCUGAUGCAGCGACGCCGCGUGAGUGAAGAAGUAUCUCGGUACGUAAAGCUCUAUCAGCAGGGAAGAAAAUGACGGUACCUGACUAAGAAGCCCCGGCUAACUACGUGCCAGCAGCCGCGGUAAUACGUAGGGGGCAAGCGUUAUCCGGAUUUACUGGGUGUAAAGGGAGCGUAGGCGGCAGCACAAGUCUGGAGUUAAAGCCCGCGGCUUAACCCCGGAACUGCUUUGGAAACUGUGCGGCUAGAGUGCAGGAGGGGUAAGCGGAAUUCCUGGUGUAGCGGUGAAAUGCGUAGAUAUUAGGAGGAACACCGGUGGCGAAGGCGGCUUACUGGACUGUAACUGACGUUGAGGCUCGAAAGCGUGGGGAGCAAACAGGAUUAGAUACCCGGGUAGUC